rnacentral:rRNA from 1 species
GACGAACGCUGGCGGCGUGCUUAACACAUGCAAGUCGAACGGAAAGGCCCUGCUUUUGUGGGGUGCUCGAGUGGCGAACGGGUGAGUAACACGUGAGUAACCUGCCCUUGACUUUGGGAUAACUUCAGGAAACUGGGGCUAAUACCGGAUAGGAGCUCCUGCUGCAUGGUGGGGGUUGGAAAGUUUCGGCGGUUGGGGAUGGACUCGCGGCUUAUCAGCUUGUUGGUGGGGUAGUGGCUUACCAAGGCUUUGACGGGUAGCCGGCCUGGGAGGGUGACCGGCCACGUUGGGCCUGGGAUACGGCCCAGACUCCAACGGGACGCGGCAGUGGGGAAUAUUGCACAAUGGGCGGAGGCCUGAUGCGGCAACGCCGCGUCGGGGAUGACGGCCUUCGGGUUGUAUACCGCUUUCGCCUGUGACGAAGCGUGAGUGACGGUAAUGGGUAAAGAAGCACCGGCUAACUACGUG